rnacentral:rRNA from 1 species
ACGGGUGAGUAACGCGUGGGAACGUACCUUUUGGUUCGGAACAACUGAGGGAAACUUCAGCUAAUACCGGAUAAGCCCUUACGGGAAAAGAUUUAUCGCCGAAAGAUCGGCCCGCGUCUGAUUAGCUAGUUGGUGAGGUAAUGGCUCACCAAGGCGACGAUCAGUAGCUGGUCUGAGAGGAUGAUCAGCCACAUUGGGACUGAGACACGGCCCAAACUCCUACGGGAGGCAGCAGUGGGGAAUAUUGGACAAUGGGCGAAAGCCUGAUCCAGCCAUGCCGCGUGAGUGAUGAAGGCCCUAGGGUUGUAAAGCUCUUUUGUGCGGGAAGAUAAUGACGGUACCGCAAGAAUAAGCCCCGGCUAACUUCGUGCCAGCAGCCGCGGUAAUACGAAGGGGGCUAGCGUUGCUCGGAAUCACUGGGCGUAAAGGGUGCGUAGGCGGGUUCUUAAGUCAGAGGUGAAAUCCUGGAGCUCAACUCCAGAACUGCCUUUGAUACUGAGAGUCUUGAGUAUGACAGAGGUGAGUGGAACUGCGAGUGUAGAGGUGAAAUUCGUAGA